rnacentral:lncRNA from 1 species
UGAUAACUGAGUAAUGCCAAUUAGCGCUCCCCAUAUGUGGACGGAUGUGUGGCUACCCACUGACAUGCUGCAAGCCUACAGAUGGUCACACCCUCAAAGAAGAAUGGUUUUCCCUCUCCCAGCAGCUAUCUACUGCAAAGAGCUUUGUACUAAGGGGCAGCGGCUGGAGAUCAUCUCCCUCAUUUCCUGCAUUUCAGCUGUCUUGAUCUUGAGCUGUGUGGGUUCAUGUGUGUAAUAGCCCUGCCAUUUGUAAAGGGGUCCUUUCUACCCUCCAGCUCUUAUAUCCGUUCUGCCUCUUCUGCAGUGUUCUGCAAGCCAUGGCAGGGUGGGUUAAUAAAGAUGUUCAACUCAGGG